GGGUUGUGAGGUUAAGCGACUAAGCGUACACGGUGGAUGCCCUGGCAGUCAGAGGCGAUGAAGGACGUGCUAAUCUGCGAAAAGCGUCGGUAAGGUGAUAUGAACCGUUAUAACCGGCGAUGUCCGAAUGGGGAAACCCAGUGUGAUUCGUCACACUAUCGUUAACUGAAUACAUAGGUUAACGAGGCGAACCGGGGGAACUGAAACAUCUAAGUACCCCGAGGAAAAGAAAUCAACCGAGAUUCCCCCAGUAGCGGCGAGCGAACGGGGAGCAGCCCAGAGUCUGAAUCAGCUUGUGUGUUAGUGGAACGGUCUGGAAAGUCCGACGGUACAGGGUGAUAGUCCCGUACACCAAAAUGCACAGGCUGUGAACUCGAAGAGUAGGGCGGGACACGUGGUAUCCUGUCUGAAUAUGGGGGGACCAUCCUCCAAGGCUAAAUACUCCUGACUGACCGAUAGUGAACCAGUACCGUGAGGGAAAGGCGAAAAGAACCCCGGCGAGGGGAGUGAAAAAGAACCUGAAACCGUGUACGUACAAGCAGUGGGAGCACCUUCGGGUGUGACUGCGUACCUUUUGUAUAAUGGGUCAGCGACUUAUAUUCUGUAGCAAGGUUAACCGUAUAGGGGAGCCGCAGGGAAACCGAGUCUUAACUGGGCGUUAAGUUGCAGGGUAUAGACCCGAAACCCGGUGAUCUAGCCAUGGGCAGGUUGAAGGUUGGGUAACACUAACUGGAGGACCGAACCGACUAAUGUUGAAAAAUUAGCGGAUGACUUGUGGCUGGGGUGAAAGGCCAAUCAAACCGGGAGAUAGCUGGUUCUCCCGAAAGCUAUUUAGGUAGCGCCUCGUGAACUCAUCUUCGGGGUAGAGCACUGUUUCGGCUAGGGGGUCAUCCCGACUUACCAACCCGAUGCAAACUACGAAUACCGAAGAAUGUUAUCACGGGAGACACACGGCGGGUGCUAACGUCCGUCGUGAAGAGGGAAACAACCCAGACCGCCAGCUAAGGUCCCAAAGUCAUGGUUAAGUGGGAAACGAUGUGGGAAGGCACAGACAGCCAGGAUGUUGGCUUAGAAGCAGCCAUCAUUUAAAGAAAGCGUAAUAGCUCACUGGUCGAGUCGGCCUGCGCGGAAGAUGUAACGGGGCUAAACCAUGCACCGAAGCUGCGGCAGCGACACUAUGUGUUGUUGGGUAGGGGAGCGUUCUGUAAGCCUGCGAAGGUGUGCUGUGAGGCAUGCUGGAGGUAUCAGAAGUGCGAAUGCUGACAUAAGUAACGAUAAAGCGGGUGAAAAGCCCGCUCGCCGGAAGACCAAGGGUUCCUGUCCAACGUUAAUCGGGGCAGGGUGAGUCGACCCCUAAGGCGAGGCCGAAAGGCGUAGUCGAUGGGAAACAGGUUAAUAUUCCUGUACUUGGUGUUACUGCGAAGGGGGACGGAGAAGGCUAUGUUAGCCGGGCGACGGUUGUCCCGGUUUAAGCAUGUAGGCUGGUUAUCCGAGCAAAUCCGGAUAAUCAAGGCUGAGGUGUGAUGACGAGGCACUACGGUGCUGAAGUAACAAAUGCCCUGCUUCCAGGAAAAGCCUCUAAGCAUCAGGUAACAUCAAAUCGUACCCCAAACCGACACAGGUGGUCAGGUAGAGAAUACCAAGGCGCUUGAGAGAACUCGGGUGAAGGAACUAGGCAAAAUGGUGCCGUAACUUCGGGAGAAGGCACGCUGGUGUGUAGGUGAAGUCCCUGCGGAUGGAGCUGAGACCAGUCGAAGAUACCAGCUGGCUGCAACUGUUUAUUAAAAACACAGCACUGUGCAAACACGAAAGUGGACGUAUACGGUGUGACGCCUGCCCGGUGCCGGAAGGUUAAUUGAUGGGGUUAUCCGUAAGGAGAAGCUCUUGAUCGAAGCCCCGGUAAACGGCGGCCGUAACUAUAACGGUCCUAAGGUAGCGAAAUUCCUUGUCGGGUAAGUUCCGACCUGCACGAAUGGCGUAAUGAUGGCCAGGCUGUCUCCACCCGAGACUCAGUGAAAUUGAACUCGCUGUGAAGAUGCAGUGUACCCGCGGCAAGACGGAAAGACCCCGUGAACCUUUACUAUAGCUUGACACUGAACAUUGAGCCUUGAUGUGUAGGAUAGGUGGGAGGCUUUGAAGCGUGGACGCCAGUCUGCGUGGAGCCAACCUUGAAAUACCACCCUUUAAUGUUUGAUGUUCUAACGUUGGCCCCUGACCGGGGUUGCGGACAGUGUCUGGUGGGUAGUUUGACUGGGGCGGUCUCCUCCCAAAGCGUAACGGAGGAGCACGAAGGUUAGCUAAUCCUGGUCGGACAUCAGGAGGUUAGUGCAAUGGCAUAAGCUAGCUUGACUGCGAGCGUGACGGCGCGAGCAGGUGCGAAAGCAGGUCAUAGUGAUCCGGUGGUUCUGAAUGGAAGGGCCAUCGCUCAACGGAUAAAAGGUACUCCGGGGAUAACAGGCUGAUACCGCCCAAGAGUUCAUAUCGACGGCGGUGUUUGGCACCUCGAUGUCGGCUCAUCACAUCCCGGGCUGAAGUAGGUCCCAAGGGUAUGGCUGUUCGCCAUUUAAAGUGGUACGCGAGCUGGGUUUAGAACGUCGUGAGACAGUUCGGUCCCUAUCUGCCGUGGGCGCUGGAGAAUUGAGGGGGGCUGCUCCUAGUACGAGAGGACCGGAGUGGACGCAUCACUGGUGUUCGGGUUGUCAUGCCAAUGGCACUGCCCGGUAGCUAAAUGCGGAAGAGAUAAGUGCUGAAAGCAUCUAAGCACGAAACUUGCCCCGAGAUGAGUUCUCCUGAGACUUUAAGUCUCCUGAAGGAACGUUAAAGACGAUGACGUUGAUAGGCCGGUGUGUAAGCGCAGCGAUGCGUUGAGCUAACCGGUACUAAUGAACCGUGAGGCUUAACCUUACAACGCCGAAG
rnacentral:rRNA from 1 species